rnacentral:rRNA from 1 species
UACGUAGGGUGCGAGCGUUAAUCGGAAUUACUGGGCGUAAAGCGUGCGCAGGCGGCGCGUUAAGACAGGUGUGAAAGCCCCGAGCUUAACUUGGGAAUUGCGCUUGUGACUGGCGUGCUGGAGUGUGGCAGAGGGAGGUGGAAUUCCGCGUGUAGCAGUGAAAUGCGUAGAGAUGCGGAGGAACACCGAUGGCGAAGGCAGCCCCCUGGGCCAACACUGACGCUCAGGCACGAAAGCGUGGGGAGCAAACAGG